rnacentral:SRP_RNA from 2 species
CCCCAGGCUCCGGGCAACGAGAUCCCGCAAACCCCGCCAGGUCCGGAAGGAAGCAACGGUAGCGGUGUGUCGCGUGUGCCCCGGAUUCCCCUGGGGUCC